UUUCCACAGUGAUAUAGCACUCAUACUAGACUGUUUAAAAUUUGAGUGGUAUCUUUCAAAUUUAUUAAUAUCUAACAAGCCUAAUAAGUUAACCAAUGUUUUCAGCUGUGAGCUUGAGUCAUUAUGUUAAAAUUUAAAACUUUAUUUUUGUACAACACAACACAUUUGUUUUUAAUCCCUUUGAAUGUUACAGUGAAUUUUUCUAUUCAGUACAGACAUGUAUGUAAUGAAAAAUAUAAAACAAUGGCCACUCCAACAAAAUUAAAAGACUUAAACCUUCAAUUGUAAGAAGAGGAAGUAAUUUCUCCCAUCUGGGAAAACCUCUGCUAAUCAUCAAGAUUUAAUGGAUGGACUGUAUGACCGGCAACCACAGGACCAUUAGAGCGACCUGUGGAAUGACACGGUGUGAAAGAAGAGAUGAUAAGCUUUGAGAGUGGCAUGGUACCAUACGAGUAACAGGCUGCACCUCAAGCAAAUAAAAUUUAGUUGUAACAAUUGGCACAAAUGAAUGAUUCAAAGUAUCAGCAGUAGCAGUGCGGUAAGUGACAAGUGAUAUAGGUUUGAUGCUACCGAACAAAUAAAGGGCCAAUCUACACACAGGGUACAGGCCGACCUACACACGGGGUACAGUCUGCCUCAAAAAUUCCCAACAUCCAUUUUCACUUUAUAAUAUGUAUAUAUGUAUAUGAAGGUAUUCAUCACAAACAGGAUUAUUCCUACACAUUGAAUGACAACAACAUUUAUGGCAAUUAAACACGUCAUGAAUAUUUAAGUUACCCAUUGUCUGAAGUAAACAAUGUCUAUUUCAGGUAGUAAGAACAUAACAAGAGUCUAUCAUGAGAACGAUGCUGAUUGAGAGUCUUGUUGUAACGUGAUAUAGCCAGCCGGAGUGGCCGAGCGGUUCUAGGUGCUUCAGUCUGGAACCGCACAACUGCUACGCUCGCAGGUUUGAAUCCUGCCUCGGACAUGUAUGUGUGUGAUGUCCUUAGGUUAGUUAGGUUUAAGUAGUUCUACGUUCUAGGGGACUGAUGACCUUAGAUGUUGCGUCCCAUAGUGCACAGAGACAUUUGAACCAUUUUUGCAACAUGAUAAAUGAGUUCUACAUCCUUUCCAUUGUAAUCCGAUGAGUCUGUUCUCAAAUAGAUUCCUUCCUUCAUUGCUUGAGGCAAUGCUAAAUGUAGUUACACAAGCAGCACAUACUGUAUUCAAAGUAAAUGCCAAUGCUUCCCAUCUGCCCCAUAAAUAAAAAAUAAGCUCUCAUGAACAAUGUGAAAGAAAUUAUGUAUAAUAUUUCUUAUGCAAAGUUUUGUGGCACACAAACAUAUGGAUAUAUAUAUGUACAUAAGAAUGAUCGAUGUAACUGAGAUUACGCAUAUUUAUUCUAUAAUGUGAAUGUAAAUAAGCCUAUUAUGUACAAACUAAACUUGUUCGACUGUUUAUGAAGUAAGUGUGAUGGCAAUGUCAGCAAUGAUAUGUAAUAUAUGAAUGUAUUAAAAUUCUGACUCUGUUUGUUUGAAGAGUAACAGCAUAAGAAAUCAGACACUUAUAUACAAAAUGAGUGAUUAAUAGAGUUGGAUGGCAAUUCAGCAAGGAACCUGUGUAAAAGUGAUUUUUUUCAAAAGUGAAGUGUGCUGAUGCUUAGUAUGCAUUUGUAAACCUACAAAAAUUUUUACUAAACUACACUCAACCCUGGAUAAAUGAAGAAGUGCUUUAUAAGGAACUUACCAUGUCAUCAGGGGCUGAUUGAUGGAUUUCCUCUCCACUGAAUGAGCACGUUACGAUGGCUAAACAAUGGUCCCAGGCCAUAAAAUUGUAGGUCCUCUGUCAUAUCAUCAAAAUUACAUCAAGCGUGCACAUUGUUUCCAAGAAAUGAACAAAUUGUUUGUGGAGAAAUGCAUGGUACAACACAUGAUGACUUCACUGUUUCACUCCGAGUGAAAUGGACAUGCAUGAGUUAGAAGUAUUCAGUGAGGACAAAACAGUUUUUAAAUCCCAGUGCAUGGCCACCAACUACUUGCCAUGUGCAUGGGCACAUUAAUGAAUGAGACUGGACUAAACCAAGCAUUGUUGAAUACACACACUAUUUGAUAUUUGUAACCCUUUUUAAUAACUUGUUAAGUCUAUCUAAAAGACCGAGAAAUAAAGGGCUUUAAGUCCCCUCACUGGUAAUAGAUGACAACCAAUUAAUCAUGUGAUACUACCUAACAUUGUUGGUGUACUGUUGGGGGCAACUGUGUAAUACCUUUUUAUUUUUCUCACAAUAUCAAUUUAUAUAAAUGUUUUCUUUUCCUCAUUAGUAAUAAGAAAUUGGUACAUCACCAGAGAAGAUGGCAAACACAGGCUUUUAAAAUAAUUUUUCUAACAAACGAGAAAUGCCAGGAGAAUAUUCAAUUUUUUAACAACUUUUGUUUCAAAUCCCACUUGAGAAUAUUUAAGUUUCAGAUCUCACAGAAGAAGGACAUAUAAUAUUUACUCUUGUGUCAACAAUGACUGCUGUAAAUGCUAGGUGUGAUAAAAAUACA